rnacentral:ncRNA from 1 species
AUCAUACAGAGUACCAUGCAUGUAGAUCAUAAAGGGAAACGAAUGGGGAAUACUGGUGAGAAUCCAGAGCUGUCCUGCAACCGUAUGGGGAAAAGAAGCAGUGUUACGUCUCUCACAAAGAGCUGCUUCUUUGAGGAACUUAGUCGGAGUGCCAUGAAAUUUCUUAUAUCCCA